CUCAUUUUCAUCCCUAAAGUCGUGCCCUCCGUAGCCAAGGAGUUCCAAGCUUUCAUCUUCAAAUUUUAACCCCGUUUCUCAACGUAUUGAAUAUCCGAUCGAGCAAUCUGUGUUAAAUCAAGUAAGUAAAACGAGAGGUUUCACGGCGAUAGCCGAAAUGGAAGAAAAAGGGAUCCAGAGUGACUGGAACAUUAAGAUGGAAAAAGGGCUUAUGCUCAUAAGCCUGUCAGGUAGCAUGCUCAAUACUUAAAUGGUCUAAUUCUCUUAUGUGUUUUAAUGUGUUUAUUAUGUGACAUAUUGCUUGAUAAAUUAUGAUUAAUUAUGUGAUAAAAGACUUAUGAGGUAAAAUAUGAAAGUAAGAUGAAUUAUUGAAUGAUUUGGUAAUGAAGUAUGAAAAGGAAAGAAUAUGAUUGUGACUAUAAAGAUGGUGAGAUAUAUACAAAUAAGAUUUACAUGUAAAAUAUGUCUGAUCGAUCUGUGAUGACGUCUGAUCUGUCCUACAUCUGAUGACAUAGGACAGCAGCGCUGCAUUAUUUGUGAUCACUCGUCUUUUGGAUAACCGAAGUGAGGAUCGUCUGUUAUCUGAUGGGCCCUAUCUGAUCUGUCUGAUAUGCACCCUCAUGGGUGGUCUGAUCAACUGUCUGAUAUGCACCCUCAUGGGUGAUAUGAUUAUCUGUAUGCACCCUAAAUGGGUGGUCAGUGCGGAGUCCUCUCAAUGACAAAAUCCGCGUCCGUAUCUGAUUAUCUGAUUCUGAUUCUGAUUUUGAUUCUGAUCCUGAUCUGGUCCGCGUACCCUAGUCUGUCACUAAGCACAUUAAGGGCCCAUAUGUGAAAGUUAUGUGUUAGUGUGGAUCAAAAUAUUCGUGAUGAUAUAUGUGACAAUACGCGUAUGAUAAUAUAUAAGUUAUAAUAUGAGAUUUGGUGAAAUAUCUGUUAUAUUAUACGUGAAAAUGGAUUAUGUUACAUAAUUAUGUUGAAUUUUGAUAAAAAUAUUGAGAAUCUGAGAUUUAAAGUCGUAGAUGAAGAUGUGACUACUGGUACGGGUAUGUAGAUACGUGUAAUGUCGUCUGUGAUUUGUCUAUGUUAAUGUGUGGAUAUCAUGUGGAAUAUUAGAUGCUUCAUAUGAAUGCUGAUGACUGUUGAUAAAUUCUGGGUUUGAUUUUGCCUAUUGUUGGGUUCUGGGCAUGUGUUGGUUAUAGAGGAGAUGCUGCCCAAUUUAUGUUAGAAAUUAAUAAGACAAUAAUAAUAUGAUAUAUGCGGUAAUGUUUGGUAAAUAAAAUAAUAAGAAUUUAAAGAAUUUUAAAGUUGUAUGAUUAUUGCUUGUAGAGAAUUUUGGCUGAAGUGUUGGGUGUGCUACAGGUUUAUCGGCAUUGGGGAGUAUCGGUCGAUGUUCAUUCAAGUCUACGUCAGUGUUGCAUCCUCGUCGGGUCACUGAAUGCUAUCUGUGGUAUAUAGUGGUGGCAUGUUUAGAAAUCCGAUUAUGAUAUUCUAAAAUCAGUUGCGUUGUAGUUUAAUGUUGAUAAAUUAGUUUUCGAGGAAAUAUAAACUUAUAUGCUUUUAUAUGUAAGUAAUGGUCUCAAUUGGUUACGAUAAUGAAAUUUUAAAUUGUCAUAA